CAGCGUUCCGUCACAAUGCCUCAUAGUUUGUUUAUAUGUUAGUGCAUUUGGAUUCGGGGCGGUUUUGGUGGGCCUUCUCUGCCCCUACUAUAUCCUUGUUUUCUUCCUCCUCUGCCUAUCUCCCUGAUGCUAUAUUUCUGUGUUUUAUGUUACCUCUGCCCUUUCUAUGGCCGGCUGUAUAUGUGCCGCUCGGGGGUUUGCUGGAGGCUGCCAGUCUCAUGCCUCCUCCGACUCCCCGGGCUCCGGAACUGCAGGAGUCACCUCCAGCUGUCCCAUGCUUUUCCUG